UACGUAGGGUGCAAGCGUUGUCCGGAAUUAUUGGGCGUAAAGAGCUCGUAGGCGGUCCGUCACGUCGGCUGUGAAAACCCGGGGCUCAACCCCGGGCCUGCAGUCGAUACGGGCGGACUAGAGUUCGGCAGGGGAGACUGGAAUUCCUGGUGUAGCGGUGAAAUGCGCAGAUAUCAGGAGGAACACCGAUGGCGAAGGCAGCUCGCUGGGACGGUACUGACGCUGAGGCGCGAAAGCGUGGGGAGCAAACAGG
rnacentral:rRNA from 1 species